UAUACACCACUGGUAACGAUACUUGGCUCUAUACACACAUGAGUAAUGAUAACUUGGCUCUAUUACACCACAUGGGUAACGAUAACUUGGCUCUAUACACACACUGAGUAAUGUAACUUGGCUCUAUACACACACUGGUAGAAACGGUAUACACGCACACUGGCUCUAUACACACACUGAGUAACGAUAACUUGGCUCUAUACACACACUGAGUAAUGAUAACUUGCUCUAUACACACACUGGUGGUAACGAUAAACUUGGCUCUAUACACCACACUGGGUAACGAUAACUUGGCUCUAUACCACACACUGGGUAACCGAUAACACUUGGCUCUAUACACACACCUGAGUAACGAUAACUUGCUCUAUACACACACUGGGUAACGAUAAACCUUGGCUCUUAUUACACACUGGGUAACGUAACUUGGCUUAUACACACACUGAGUAAUGAUAACUUGGCUCUUACACACUGUGGUAACGAUAACUUGGCUCUAUACACACCACUGGGUAACGAUACACUUGGCUCUAUACACACACUGGGGUACGAUAACUUGGCUCUCUACAACACACGGGUAACGAUAACUUGGCUCUAUACACACACUGUGGUAACGAUAACUUGGCUCUAUACACACACUGGGUAAGAUAAUUGGCUCUAUACACGGGGGUACCCAGUAUUGAGUCAGUGUGUAGGGUACGAGGUAAGGGGGGUCCUAUGUAGAAAGUCUGGGUAGCUGCUGGCUAAACUAUUUAUCAGUCAUUACGGCUUGGGAAGAAGCUGGUCAGGGUCCUGUUGGUUCCAGACUUGGUGCAUCGGUACACUUGCCGUGCAGUAGCAGAGUGAGAGAACAGUCUAUGACGGGUGGCUUAGUCUGACAAUUUUUAGGGCCUUCCUCUGACACCGUCUGGUAUAGAGGUCCUGAUGCAGGAAGCUUGGCCCCAGUGUAUGUACUGGGCCGUACGCACUACCCUCUGUAGCGCCUUGCGGCGAGGCCGAGUGAAGUCCGUACCAAGCGGUGAUCCAGCCAGUCAAGAUGCGCUCAACUGUGCAACUGUAGAACUUUUGGAGGAUCUGGGGACUCAUGCCAAAUAUUUUCAGCCUGCGAGGGGGAAGACGCUUUGUCUGCCUUAUUGUUCUGUGUCCCAGUUGUUACAGCCUUCUGUCUGUGUGCUCCAGCCUUCUGUCUGUGUGCUCAAGCCUUCAUCUCUCUGUGUGUUCCAGCCCUUCUAUCUAUCUCUGUUGCUCCAGCCUUCUACUCUCUGGUGUUCACCUUCUAUCUCUUGUGUGCUCCAGCCUUCUAUCUCUCUGUGUGUUCCAGCCUUCUAUCUCUCUGUGUGUUCCCAGGCCUCUGUCGUGUGUUCCCAGCCUUCUAGUCUCUGUGCGUUCCAGCCUUCUAUCUCUGUGUGCUCCACCUCUAUCUCUCUGUGUGUUCCAGCUCAUCUCUGUGUGCUCAGCCUUCUAUCUCUGUGUGCUCCAUCUCUGUGUGUUCCAGCCUUCUAUCUCUGUGUGCUCCAGCCUUCUAUCUAUCUGUGUGUUCCAGCCUUCUAUCUCUCUGUGUGUUCCAGCCUUCUCUCCUCUCUGUGUGCUCCAGCCCUUCUAUCUCUCUGUGUGUGGCCAGCCUUCUAUCUCUUGUGUGCUCCAGCCUUCCUUCAUCUCUCUGUGUGCUCCAGCCUUCUAUCCUCUCUGUGUUCCAGCCUUCUAUCUCUCUGUGUGUUCCAGCCUUCAUUAUCUGUGGCUCCAGCCUUUCAUCUAUCUGGUGUUCCAGCCUUCUGUCUGUCUGUGUGCUCCAGCCUUCUAUCUCUCGUGUUCUCAGCUUCUAGUCUCUCUGAUGUGCUCAGCCUUCUAUCUCUCUGUGUGCUCCAUCCUAUUAUCUCUCUGCUGUGUCUCCCGCCUUCUAUCUCUCUGUGUGUUCCAGCCUUCUAUCUCUCUGUGUGCUCCAGCCUUCUAUCUCUCUGUGUGUUCCAGCCUUCUAUCUAUCUGUGUGUUCCAGCCUCUAUCUCUCUGUGUGUUCCAGCCUUCUAUCUCUUCUGUGUGUUCCAGCCUUCUAUCCUUGUGUGUUCCCAGCUUCUAUCUCUCUGUGUGUUCCAGCCUUUCUAUCUCUCUGGUGUUCCACCUUCUAUCUAUCUGUGUGUUCCAGCCUUCUAUAUCUCUGUGUGUUCCAGCUUCAUCUCUCUGUGUGCUCAGCCUUCUGUCUGUUGUGCUCCAGCCUUCUAUCUCUCUGUGUGCUCCAGCCUUCUGUCGUGUUCCCAGCCUUCUAUCUGCUCUGUGUUGCUCCAGCCUUCUGUCUGUGUGCUCCAGCCUUCUGCUGUGUGCUCCUAG
rnacentral:lncRNA from 1 species